AAGCUGUGUGCAGCAUUGACUAGCGCUCAGCUUGCACAGUUUCUCAAACAUGAGCUAACCAUUGCCUUAGAGACAGUGACAUUAUGGACUGACUCGACUGCAGUGCUCACCUGGGUCCAGUCUGAGUCCUGUAGAUACAAGGUGUUCAUCAGGAUAAGGGUGGCAGAAAUACAAGAGUUGACUGAGCUCCACUCUUGGCAAUACGUUGACUCCUCAAAUAACCCGGCGGACGAUAUUACCAGAGGGAGAACGCUCAAGGAGCUGGCGAACUCUGACAUGUGGAGUCGAGGCCUAGGAUUCCUCCGUGAACUGCCAGAUCACUGGCCAGAUAAGCCCCUUGCAGAGGCCAGAGAGGAUACCUCAGAAACAAGGAAAGCUGUUUUCUGUGGAUUAGUCAAAGACGAUCGAAAUCCAGACAUGCUUGAUGCAUCUCAGUAUACUUCUUGGAGUGCCUUAGUCGACGCGACCUACCGGUCCCUCCAUGGGGUGGCCGCCCAAGAUACUAGUAAAGCAUCCGUAGAAUACAGGCAUGCAGAAGCUCUCAUCUUGAGUCAAUGUCAGGAGGAAUCCUUCCCAGAGGAAUUCAAGGCUUUAAAAUCAGGGAAACAGGUGCCCACAGCCAGCCGUCUAAACACGCUUGCACCCGAGUUCGACCCUGAGUUCUGUCUAAUUCAUGUGGGAGGUAGGCUACGGCGAUUGGAUGGCUUCAGAAAAACCGAGAUACACCCAGUGUUUCUAGAUCCCCAUCAUCAGGUGACAAAACUCAUCGUUAAGCACUUUGAUGAGCGUCUACUCCAUCCAGGACCUGAUAGGGUCUUCGCAGAGCUACGUCGCCAUUUCUGGAUCCUAAGGGGCAGGCAAGCCAUCAAACGACACCAGAGAGAGUGCAUAGAAUGUCAGAAGUGGAGAGCUAAGCCGACUCUACCUAUUAUGUCUGACUUACCCUCAGCUCGCCUACGAUUGUACCAACCCCCCUUCUUCUCUACUGGAGUCACUGCUUCAGGCCAUUCAUGGUUAAGAUUGGACGUCGGACGGAGAAG
rnacentral:lncRNA from 1 species